rnacentral:tRNA from 1 species
UCCUGCGUAGCUUAGUCGAUAAAGCAUCUGCCUGCAACGUGGGAGAGCUGGGUUCAAUUCCUGGGUCAGGAA